GACGAACGCUGGCGGCGUGCUUAACACAUGCAAGUCGAGCGGUAAGGCCCUUUCGGGGGUACGACGAGCGGCGAACGGGUGAGUAACACGUGGGUGACCUGCCCUUAGCUCUGGGAUAAGCCUGGGAAACGUGGGUCUAAUACCGGAUAUGACUCCAUGACGCAUGUUGUGGGGUGGAAAGCCUUGUGCGGCUAGGGAUGGGCCCGCGGCCUAUCAGCUUGUUGGUGGGGUGAUGGCCUACCAAGGCGACGACGGUAGCCGGCCUGAGAGGGCGACCGGCCACACUGGGACUGAGACACGGCCCAGACUCCUACGGGAGGCAGCAGUGGGGAAUCUUGCGCAAUGGGCGAAAGCCUGACGCAGCGACGCCGCGUGGGGA
rnacentral:rRNA from 1 species